rnacentral:rRNA from 1 species
GACGAACGCUGGCGGCGUGCCUAAUACAUGCAAGUCGAGCGAAGGCUCCGGUUCUAGGGGCGGCCGGCGUAGUAACGCGUGGGGAGGGUCCCUUCUCUACGGCAUAGCUCUGAGAAACGGAGAAUAUUAGGGAACAGUCGCUAUUAGGGAAUGAUUUUUCGAAGCAGUAGCAUCAAGCGUUGGAUACGGUAGUUGGUGGGGUAAUAGCCGACCAAGCCGAGCAUUCAUAGCUUGUUUGAGAGAAUGAUCAGCCACUCUUGGACUGAGAGACGGCCCAGACUCUUACGGGAGGCAGCAGUGGGGAAUGUUAGAAAACGGCGGCAAUCCUGAUCGAGCCAUGCCGCGUGAGUGAUGAAGGCCUUAGGGUUGUAAAGCUCUUUCAGCUGGGAAGAUAAUGACGGUACCAGAAGAAGAAGCCCCGGCUAACUACGUG